rnacentral:rRNA from 1 species
CCUACGGGGGGCUGCAGUAGGGAAUAUUGGACAAUGGAGGAAACUCUGAUCCAGCCAUCCCGCGUGAAGGAUUAAGGUCCUAUGGAUUGUAAACUUCUUUUCUUUGGGAAUAAAAUCUCCGAUUCCUCGGAGCUUGAAGGUACCAGGGGAAUAAGCACCGGCUAACUCCGUGCCAGCAGCCGCGGUAAUACGGAGGGUGCAAGCGUUAUUCGGAUUCACUGGGGCGUAGGGGGGUUUGUAAGUCUGUGGUGAAAGCCUACAGCUUAACUGUAGAAUUGCCAGUGAUACUGCUUAACUUGAAUCAAGUCGAAGUGGAUGGAAUAGAUCAUGUAGCGGUGAAAUGCUUAGAUAUGAGUUAGAACACCAAUUGCGAAGGCAGUUCACUAGGCUUGUAUUGACACUGAGGCACGAAAGCGUGGGGAUCAAACAGGAUUAGAUACCCCAGUAGUC